rnacentral:snoRNA from 1 species
CGCCGGCGAUGAGGAAGAACAUGGUUCGCUCGUCUGAACGGUGGGUUAUUUACCCACCUUGCAGAUUUUAAAAGUAGUCUGAGCCGAUG